ACUAAUAUCUGACCUGUUCAUCAUGAUGAAGCUGAUCCUUUCUCUGACUCUCAUCUGGGCACUCUCCAGCACAGCUGGAGCACUUGAGUGUCAAACUUGCACCAAUACACAGUGUUCAAGCCAGGCGCCUGUGACAUGCGCUUCAGAGACGAUGUGUAUAACAGCUAAUAUUCAAGGUAUUCAUUUCUUUACGUCAUCUAUUCUAAUUCAGUGAAAUAUACUGUAUGUAGUGUUGUGAGUCCAACAUUAACAAACUAACCUUUGAUUUUGUAGCCAAUUCAUCUGGAGUGACAGUGCCACAGAUCUUCAAGGGAUGUGCAUCUUCCUCACUGUGUCCAGCCACAGGCCCUCAGACAUUUUCAGUCAACUUGGGUGCUUCCGGUGCAGUUACAUCUGCUGAAUGCUGCAACACAGAUAACUGUAACGCAGCAACUCUACCUGGUAAGUAUAGACAGAAUAUAAAAUAAAAUAUAUUAACAAAUAGAACACUGGCAUCUUCUAAGAUGUUUGAUUUUCAUCAUGAAACACUUUAAUGUUUUCUUUUCUUCGAGUGAAUGAUUUUGUUCUUUUGUCUUUCAGCUCCCGCGACUCCGACAGCCAACAGCCUACAGUGUAACUCUUGUACCAACCAACUAUGCAACACUGCGAUAACAUGCAGGGGAAACGAGGACCGAUGCUUUCAAGCGAGUUUGACAAAUUCAGGCACCACUUCUCCAGCCUUUGGCUGUACAUCUUCAAACAUAUGUACAGCUGCUCCAGCCCUGGGUAGCCUACCUUUCAUGGGAAGUGUUGGGACACUCAACAGUGGACCGACCUGUUGUGGGACCAGUUUGUGUAAUGCUAUCAUGGCAACAACAACGACUGCUGCCCCCACAACCACGACAACUGCUGCCCCCACAACCACAACAACUGCUGCCCCCACAACCACAACUACUGCAGCCCCGACAACCACAACAACUGCUGCCCCCACAACCACAACUACUGCAGCCCCGACAACCACAACAACUGCUGCCCCGACUACCACAACAACUGCUGCCCCCACAACCACAACAACUGCUGCCCCGACAACCACAACAACUGCUGCCCCGACUACCACAACAACUGCAGCCCCCACAACCACAACAACCGCUGCCCCGACUACCACAACAACUGCUGCCCCCACAACCACAACAACUGCUGCCCCGACAACCACAACAACUGCUGCCCCGACUACCACAACAACUUCUGCCCCCACAACCACGACGACUGCUGCCCCGACUACCACAACAACUGCUGCCCCGACUACCACAACAACUGCUGCCCCCCACAACCACAACAACUGCUGCCCCGCCUACCACAACAACUGCUGCCCCAACUGCUGCCCCAACAACUGCUGCCCCUGCAACUGCUGCCCCAACGACAGCUGCCCCUGCAACUGCUGCCCCAACGACUGCUGCCCCAGCAACUGCUGCCCCAACGACUGCUGCCCCUGCAACUGCUGCCCCAACGACUGUUGCCCCCGCAACUGCUGCCCCAACGACUGCUGCCCCCGCAACUGCUGCCCCAACAACAGCUGCCCCAGCAACUGCUGCCCCAACGACUGCUGCCCCUGCAACUGCUGCACCUGCAACUGCUGCUCCCGCAACUGCUGCCCCAACGACUGCUGCCCCCGCAACUGCUGCCCCAACAACAGCUGCCCCCGCAACUGCUGCCCCAACGACUGCUGCCCCUGCAACUGCUGCACCUGCAACUGCUGCUCCCGCAACUGCUGCCCCAACAACAGCUGCCCCUGCAACUGCUGCCCCAACGACUGCUGCCCCUGCAACUGCUGCCCCAACCACUACUGCCAGUGAUGCCUGCUGUAUCAGAUUAGGUAUGAUCCAUCUUCUCCUUGGACUCCUUAUCUUUACCCUGUGUUAGAACAGGGUAACAGGGAUGCUCCACCUAUGAAGCCACCAGGACUCUGCAAUGGUGAUGCCUGGAACUGUGUUACUGCGUGAUGCUGUGUUUAGUUGGCAGUUGGAAAACAUCUUUUUUCUUUGUCUCUGUCAUUUGGACAACAAUUUUAUGUCACAGUAUACAUCUUGAAAAGGACAAGCAACAUUAGCUGUGUGGUGAAUAAUGACGAUGAUUUCUCAGCACUGAGCAGUUACCUGAAGUGAAGCACACGUCUCAACAAUGGUGUAACAAGUCUUCUGUAAUGUAUUUAAUUUCAAUGCAUGUGGCUGUUGUCACCUAUGAUAUAUUCGCAUUAAUUUAUCCUUUCUUUAAUUAUAUUUUAUUUAAAUAUUCUAACAAAUUAUGUACAUCUUUUGCAUUGUAUUCUUUGAUUCAUUACUUCCCUUCAAGUGAUGAAUCCUAGGGCAGUAUUUUAGUGGAAUGUAUUAAGGUCUACUGUAAUGUUUAUUCUAACCUGUUUUAAUAAAGCUUUUCUCAAAUGAGACAACAGCAGUUGUGUUUUACUCUAAAAGACAAAGAAAUAAAGAAUCAAUUAAG
ensembl:lncRNA